rnacentral:lncRNA from 1 species
UCUGAAAAAAAAAGAGAACGAAAUGAUUGUUCCUGUUCUCCUUCUUAAGUCAUUUGAAACAUUGUCCCUGCUAGUUUUCUAAGUUUACUGCAAUCUCUGCACGGGGGGAGGGAGACAGCGGGAGAGACAGAUAUUACAAAUAUCAGAGCAGGUAGUGUUUAGGGCAAGACUCCUUCCAGCUUCAACAACUGGUUCAGAGGGAAAUAUCUAAGUCAUUACUAAGCCAGAUCAAUUACAA